rnacentral:rRNA from 1 species
GAUGAACGCUGGCGGCGUGCCUAAUACAUGCAAGUCGAACGAGGUGCUUUUGUAGCAAUACGAGAGUAUCCUAGUGGCGAACGGGUGAGUAACGCGUUGGUGACCUACCCCAAAGUGUGGGAUAACAGUCCGAAAGGAUUGCUAAUACCGCAUGUGGUCAUUGGAUUUAGAAACUGAUGACUAAAGGAGCAAUUCGCUUUGGGAGGGACCUGCGUCCCAUCAGCUAGUUGGUGAGGUAAUGGCUCACCAAGGCGACGACGGGUAGGGGACCUGAGAGGGUGACCCCCCACAAUGGAACUGAAACACGGUCCAUACACCUACGGGUGGCAGCAGUAGGGAAUAUUGCUCAAUGGGCGAAAGCCUGAAGCAGCAACGCCGCGUGUGUGAUGAAGGCCUUCGGGUCGUAAAGCACUUUUCUGGGAGAUGAGAAAGGACAGUAUCCCAGGAAUAAGCCUCGGCUAACUACGUGCCAGCAGCCGCGGUAAAAC